rnacentral:rRNA from 1 species
AGCGAACGCUGGCGGCAGGCUUAACACAUGCAAGUCGAGCGGGCGUAGCAAUACGUCAGCGGCAGACGGGUGAGUAACGCGUGGGAACGUACCUUUUGGUUCGGAACAACACAGGGAAACUUGUGCUAAUACCGGAUAAGCCCUUACGGGGAAAGAUUUAUCGCCGAAAGAUCGGCCCGCGUCUGAUUAGCUAGUUGGUGAGGUAAUGGCUCACCAAGGCGACGAUCAGUAGCUGGUCUGAGAGGAUGAUCAGCCACAUUGGGACUGAGACACGGCCCAAACUCCUACGGGAGGCAGCAGUGGGGAAUAUUGGACAAUGGGCGCAAGCCUGAUCCAGCCAUGCCGCGUGAGUGACGAAGGCCUUAGGGUUGUAAAGCUCUUUUGGCGGGGACGAUAAUGACGGUACCCGCAGAAUAAGCCCCGGCUAACUUCGUG